rnacentral:sRNA from 1 species
CUACUCGGUUGGGCACUAAGGUCAGGUUUAGCUGUUCUUUAGUUCUGAAGGGG